UACGUAGGUGGCAAGCGUUGUCCGGAUUUAUUGGGUUUAAAGGGUGCGUAGGCGGUUCCUUAAGUCAGUGGUGAAAUACUUCAGCUCAACUGGAGAGGUGCCAUUGAUACUGGGGAACUUGAGUACUGAUGAGGUAGGCGGAAUGGACGGUGUAGCGGUGAAAUGCUUAGAUAUCGUCCAGAACACCGAUAGCGAAGGCAGCUUACUAAAGAGUAACUGACACUGAGGCACGAAAGUGUGGGGAUCAAACAGG
rnacentral:rRNA from 1 species